AUUGAACGCUGGCGGCAUGCUUUACACAUGCGAGUCGGACGGCAGCACAGAGAAGCUUGCUUCUUGGGUGGCGAGUGGCGAACGGGUGAGUAAUAUAUCGGACCGUACCGAGUAAUGGGGGAUAACUAAUCGAAAGAUUAGCUAAUACCGCAUAUUCUCUGCGGCGGAAAGCAGGGGACCUUCGGGCCUUGCGUUAUUCGAGCGGCCGAUAUCUGAUUAGCUAGUGGGUGGGGUAAAGGCACACCAAGGCGACGAUCAGUAGCGGGUCUGAGAGGAUGAUCCGCCACACUGGGAUUGAGACACGGCCCAGACUCCUACAGGAGGCAGCAGUGGGGAAUUUUGGAGAAUGGGAGCAAGCCUGAUCCAGCCACGCCGGGUGUCUGAAGAAGGCCUUCGGGUUGUAAAGGACUUUUGUCAGGGAAGAAAAGGCUGUUGCUAAGAGCGACAGAUGAUGACGGUACCUGAAGAAUAAGCAACGGCAACCUACGG
rnacentral:rRNA from 1 species